UCUGACACAGGUGGCUGCAUGGCUGUCGUCAGCUCGUGCGUGAGAUGUUGGUUAAGUCCGUAACGAGCGCAACCCUUGUCCUUAGUUACCAGCACGUUAUGGUGGGCACUCUAAGGAGACUGCCGGUGGACAAACCGGAGGAAGGUGGGGAUGACGUCAAGUCAUCAUGGCCCUUACGGCCUGGGCUACACACGUGCUACAAUGGUCGGUACAAAGGGUUGCCAAGCCGCGAGGUGGAGCUAAUCCCAUAAAACCGAUCGUAGUCCGGAUCGCAGUCUGCAACUCGACUGCGUGAAGUCGGAAUCGCUAGUAAUCGUGAAUCAGAAUGUCACGGUGAAUACGUUCCCGGGCCUU
rnacentral:rRNA from 1 species